rnacentral:lncRNA from 1 species
CUUUUUGCUUAUAAAUACUGUCUAGGUUGCUACAGAUGACGGUUAUCUCUUCUUUCAUGAGAAAUCAAAAACUUCUGUACGCUCCUUCUUCUUCUUCCACACGGAAAAAAAAAAAAUCCUAUCUUUUUCAAGUUCUCUGUUUUUAUAGUGAGGAUCGCCGAUGGUCCCUUUGAUAUUGAAGUAAGCCGAUGAUCUCAAUAACUUCAUUCUUCAUCUCAAUAUCUAUUCGUUAGAUUUGAUCGGAGGAAAGCAUCUGAUUUCGUGAUUGAUCUCCAUAAUCUGUCUCACGCAUCUCUUCUUUCAUGAGAAAUCAAAAAAUCUCCACGCUCCUCCUUCUUCCAAACAGAAAAAACCCUAACUUUUCCAAAUUCUAUGUUCUUAUAGAGAGGAUCGCCGAUGGUCCUUUCCGAUAUUGAGUUAAUCGAGAACGAUUUUUAGGUCGGAUCUUUGAAUUAAUUUCACCUUGUUAUUGGUAAUUCGUUACGAUUGAGAGAGGGACCGUGAAAGCGACGGACGAGCAUCAGUUGACGAUGUAGAAGAUGCAGAAAAAACUCAUCGAGUUUCUUCGUCGACAAACGGGAGCAGAGAACGGCUGACGACUCGCAUUAAUGGGCCUUGUCAAUGGGCUUUACUGUGAGGUUGAAGAAGAUCCAAUACUCAUCGAGUUUCUUCGUCGACUAACGGGGCAGAGAACGGCUCAAGGCUUAAGUUUCGACUGUAACAAAAGUAC